AUGACAGGUGUGUGGUUUGCAGGGUUCACAGUGGCUACGGGUUUGUUGUUGUUGAUUCACGAUUGUGAUCCAGUUUUUCAGUGUGAAGAUGGUGUGAAGAUGUUCAUAUUCAUUUUCUUAUUCCAGAUCCAAUUUAUUCCCUUUUCAUAUGGCUUGCUAUGUUCAUUUGUUUGGCUAUAUGGUAAAAGGCGUCCUUCAAAAUCAAGGACAGACUAUUGA